rnacentral:pre_miRNA from 1 species
UAAAUACUCCCUCCGUCCGGAAAUACUUGUCAUCAUAAUGGAUAAAAGGGGAUGUAUCUAGAUGUAUUUUAGUUCUAGAUACAUAUCUUUUUAUCCAUUUUGAUGACAAGUAUUUUCGGACGGAGGGAGUAUAGA